rnacentral:misc_RNA from 1 species
GAUGAAGAACGCAGCGAAAUGCGAUAAGUAAUGCGAAUUGCAGAAUUCCAGUGAGUCAUCGAAUCUUUGAACGCACAUUGCGCCCUUUGGUAUUCCGAAGGCCAUGCCUGUUCGAGCGUCAUUAUCACCCCUCAAGCCCUCGGCUUGGUGUUGGACGGUUUGGUGGAGGCCCCCUCGGGGGUUCCUGCCCCUCCCAAAGACAAUGACGGCGGCCUCGUUGGACCCCCGGUACACUGAGUUCUUCACGGGACACGUAUCGGACACAUGGGUUUACGGGACACGGUCUGCCUCCCCUCAGGGAGAAUCUUUCUAAGGUUGACCUCGGAUCAGGUAGGGAUACCCGCUGAACUUAAGCAUAUCAAUAAGCGGAGGA